UGGAAAGUUCAUUGUUCGACACCAUGGAUCUCCAGGUGGGUCACGUUUAGAGAUACACCAACCUGGAAGACUCCAUGCUGUUGA
rnacentral:pre_miRNA from 1 species